UACGUAGGGUGCGAGCGUUGUCCGGAAUUAUUGGGCGUAAAGAGCUCGUAGGCGGUCUGUCGCGUCGAAUGUGAAAACCCGGGGCUCAACUCCGGGCUUGCAUUCGAUACGGGCAGGCUAGAGUUCGGUAGGGGAGUCUGGAAUUCCUGGUGUAGCGGUGAAAUGCGCAGAUAUCAGGAGGAACACCGGUGGCGAAGGCGGGACUCUGGGCCGAUACUAACGCUGAGGAGCGAAAGCGUGGGGAGCGAACAGG
rnacentral:rRNA from 1 species